rnacentral:rRNA from 1 species
UGAGUAACACGUAUCCAACCUGCCGUCUACUCUUGGACAGCCUUCUGAAAGGAAGAUUAAUACAAGAUGGCAUCAUGAGUCCACAUGUUCACAUGAUUAAAGGUAUUCCGGUAGACGAUGGGGAUGCGUUCCAUUAGAUAGUAGGCGGGGUAACGGCCCACCUAGUCUUCGAUGGAUAGGGGUUCUGAGAGGAAGGCCCCCACAUUGGAACUGAGACACGGUCCAA